rnacentral:lncRNA from 1 species
AAUCCCUCCAAGCAUCCUGUGAGAAAGAUAUUCUUUGUCUCCAUUUUACAGAUAAUGCGACCUUGCCAGAGACAGAUUAGACAACUUGUCCAAGAUCGUGCAGUUUGUAAGUGGCAGAGAUGGGAUUCACAUUUCAUCAGAGUGCUGCCUGAUGCCUGAUAUUAUAUAGCUGACAGCCUGGGAGUGACCACGAGGUGGCAGCACAGGAGACACUCAGCCUUGAAUUCAACUUGUGCUCGCCUGACUAGAGGAGUAAGCCGGAGAAAGGUAGGUAUAGAAGACGCAAUACUCUCCUUUCUCUUAGAACUUCCAGAUUGUGUGGCUUUGCUGGCCACUCCCUUUAUGAGUUAGAGGAGACAAAAACAAGAAUUACUUUUUUAAUGGAGGAAAGCAUCACCCAUAAGCUCAUUCCUUUUCAUGUUUUCCUUGGUUGGCGUGUUUUUGCAUAGUUGUAUUACAUAUA